AGUUGCAGUCAUUAAGGAAAUCAAGCAUGGUCAUUAAGUGCGACAUCAUAUUUUUACCUGGCAGAAACCAGACUGGCCUGCAGUCUUCUUGAAAUGGAAGACAAAACAACAAAAACAAACUGGAGUUCACUUCCUCUACUUUUCAAAGUCCACUUGAAAGAGGGAUACUGCUGAUGGGAAAGGACAAUGCCGGAAUUCCAAGAUAGAAAACAAAACUUCUGAAUUGUGGAAAUGUUUUGCUAUUAAUGUUGUCACAAUAGGCUUUUAUCCAGCAAGAAAGAUCAAAAUUGAAACCAGAUCAAAACCAAGUAGUAAAAGUUAUCAGCAGUUCUGAAAGAAUCUCUAAAGCAAGCAAGCAAACAAACAAAACAUAUUGAUCUCUUUUACCUAUAUAUCUGGCUUUAUGCCUUUGUAAGAUAGGAGCUAAAAAUAUUCUGAAAAAUUUAUCCGUAAGUUUGUCUAAUUAGGUUAAUAAUUAAAGCAAUGUAUUUUAA